CCUACGGGCGGCAGCAGUGGGGGAUAUUGCACAAUGGGGGAAACCCUGAUGCAGCGACGCCGCGUGUGGGAAGACGGUCCUCUGGAUUGUAAACCACUGUCCCCAGGGACGAAGAUGACGGUACCUGGGGAGGAAGCCCCGGCUAACUACGUGCCAGCAGCCGCGGUAAUACGUAGGGAGCGAGGUUUGUCCGGAAUUACUGGGUGAAAAGGGAGCGUAGGCGGGGAUGCAAGUUGGGUGUCAAAACUACCGGCUAAACUGGGAGUCGCACUCAAAACUGCAGCUCUUGAGUGAAGUAGAGGCAGGCGGAAUUCCUAGUGUAGCGGUGAAAUGCGUAGAUAUUAGGAGGAACACCAGUGGCGAAGGCGGCCUGCUGGGCUUUUACUGACGCUGAGGCUCGAAAGUGUGGGGAGCAAACAGGAUUAGAUACCCGGGUAGUC
rnacentral:rRNA from 1 species